UCUGGAAACUGUNUGACUUGAGUGCAGAAGGGGAGAGUGGAAUUCCAUGUGUAGCGGUGAAAUGCGUAGAUAUAUGGAGGAACACCAGUGGCGAAAGCGGCUCUCUGGUCUGUCACUGACGCUGAGGCUCGAAAGCGUGGGUAGCGAACAGGAUUAGAUACCCUGGUAGUNCACGCCGUAAACGAUGAGUGCUAGGUGUUAGGCCCUUUCCGGGGCUUAGUGCCGGAGCUAACGCAAUAAGCACUCCGCCUGGGGAGUACGACCGCAAGGUUGAAACUCAAAGGAAUUGACGGGGGCCCGCACAAGCGGUGGAGCAUGUGGUUUAAUUCGAAGCAACGCGAAGAACCUUACCAGGUCUUGACAUCCCGAUGCUAUUCUUAGAGAUAGGAAGUUACUUCGGUACAUCGGAGACAGGUGGUGCAUGGUUGUCGUCAGCUCGUGUCGUGAGAUGUUGGGUUAAGUCCCGCAACGAGCGCAACCCUUAUUGUUAGUUGCCAUCAUUAAGUUGGGCACUCUAGCGAGACUGCCGGUAAUAAACCGGAGGAAGGUGGGGAUGACGUCAAAUCAUCAUGCCCCUUAUGACCUGGGCUACACACGUGCUACAAUGGUCGGUACAACGAGUUGCGAGCCGGUGACGGCAAGCUAAUCUCUGAAAGCCGAUCUCAGUUCGGAUUGGAGGCUGCAACUCGCCUCCAUGAAGUCGGAAUCGCUAGUAAUCGCGGAUCAGCACGCCGCGGUGAAUACGUUCCCGGGCCUUGUACACACCGCCCGUCACACCACGAGAGUUUGUAACACCCGAAGUCGGUGAGGUAACCUUUUAGGGNCCAGCCGCC
rnacentral:rRNA from 1 species